AUAAACUAAAAUACUCUCUUUCAUUCGACAUUCAUGAGUGCAUUUGCUUGUUUGUGUACAUUUAUUUCUGGAAUUGCACAUCGUGAAUUCCAUAUGGUGAAUGCCUCUAAAAAUGGAGUAACUUUGUGCCAUUUAUUUUCGCAACUGACGUCAUUGAACUCAUUUUGGGGAAAACUUAGUAUUUAUUCAUAGCCUUCCAUACAUUAUUCUCCGUUUUCUGGUUUCGCCGAUGACAAGAAAUGAAUUUAUAGACGCUUUACUUCCACGACAACUCUCCAACAAUUUCGUAAAGAAUUUUAAUAGUGAUUUAUGGCAGAUUUACUUGUAGAAGUUCAGGAGGGUUGUGAAGGAUAUUCUCAUUCCAAAGGAAUACUAGGAUUCGCAAGAAAAUUCAACUAUAUAGUUACCUGUAUAUGUUAUUAUAUUUGAAUUGAUAUAUUAAUAUUUGUAUGACAUUUAUAUGUAUAUUGAAUACAGAUGUUACACAUCCUAA